rnacentral:rRNA from 1 species
GACGUAGGUGGCGAACGUUAUCCGGAAUUAUUGGGCGUAAAGGAUGCGUAGAUGGUGUAGUAAGUUAUCGGUGGCAAAUCGAGGCUCAACCUCGUGGAAGUCGGUAAUACUGCUAUGCUAGAGGAUAGGAGAGGUUAACGGAACUCCCUGUGGAGCGGUGAAAUGCGUAGAUAUAGGGAAGAACACCAAUCAGGCGAGGGCAGUUAACUAUUCUAUUCCUGACAUUGAGGCAUGAAAGCGUGGGGAGCAAACAGG